GACGAACGCUGGCGGCGUGCUUAACACAUGCAAGUCGAACGAUGAAGGAGAGCUUGCUCUCCGGAUUAGUGGCGAACGGGUGAGUAACACGUGACUAACCUGCCCCUUUCUCUGGGAUAACGCUCCGAAAGGAGUGCUAAUACCGGAUACGAACUCUGAACACAUGUUCGGAGUUGGAAAGGUUUUCGGAAAGGGAUGGAGUCGCGGCCUAUCAGCUUGUUGGUGAGGUAAUGGCUCACCAAGGCGACGACGGGUAGCCGGCCUGAGAGGGCGACCGGCCACACUGGGACUGAGACACGGCCCAGACUCCUACGGGAGGCGGCAGUGGGGAAUAUUGCACAAUGGGCGAAAGCCUGAUGCAGCGACGCCGCGUGAGGGAUGAAGGUCUUCGGAUUGUAAACCUCUUUCAGUAGGGACGAAGCGAAAGUGACGGUACCUAAAGAAGAAGCACCGGCUAACUACGUGCCAGCCGCCGCGGUAA
rnacentral:rRNA from 1 species